CAUGGUUGUCGUCAGCUCGUGUCGUGAGAUGUUGGGUUAAGUCCCGCAACGAGCGCAACCCUUGAUCUUAGUUGCCAUCAUUAAGUUGGGCACUCUAAGGUGACUGCCGGUGACAAACCGGAGGAAGGUGGGGAUGACGUCAAAUCAUCAUGCCCCUUAUGACCUGGGCUACACACGUGCUACAAUGGACGGUACAAAGAGCUGCAAGACCGCGAGGUGGAGCUAAUCUCAUAAAACCGUUCUCAGUUCGGAUUGUAGGCUGCAACUCGCCUACAUGAAGCUGGAAUCGCUAGUAAUCGCGGAUCA
rnacentral:rRNA from 9 species